GGAUGUGAAGGGGAUCUGGUGCAGCAUGUCAUCCCACUGAUCAGUAAGGCUGAUUUCACUGAUCUGGCUGGCUAGGUGGGUAUCCAAUUCCUCCAUCACCAUUCACCAUUUCCUGUGUGUGCCCCCCACCCCCGACCAAACUCUAUGCAGUGGAAGAAGACAACCACCCCCAAUAGAGGAUGAUGAUUUCCUCAGACAAGUGUAUAUGAGUAGCUGCUCUCCCUUGCUAGAACAUCCUAACAAAGUGCCUACCAUAACAUUAAUUUCUGGUAUUAGAAGUUACCAGGGGAGGGGCAGAGCAAUGUCGCCCCUGAGGUCCUAGGACAGACCACAAGUCAUCAAAACCACAACAAACUCAAUUUAAUAUAUUGCUUUGCAGUGCACAUUGUAUUUCAAU
rnacentral:snRNA from 1 species